CGCGAAAUUCUCAUUGGUCAGAUGCUAUAAUUUAUAUUAUUCCGCUGAGCUCUAUAUAUGUCAACUGCUAGCACUAUGCAUAAAAAACACAUUAACUGAUCAAAUUGGUCUUGGCCAUCUUAUCUCAAAGCACGAAAUGUUCUGUUUUGAGAAAACAGUAUUUAAAACAUUUAAACUUUUGCUUCAAUAUCUUAUAUUUCGAAAAACAGUAUAAACUGUACGGUCUAAAUUUAGUUUGCAUGGUCUAAAUUUAGUUUGCACGAAAGUUGUAAACAACACCAUAUAAGGAUAGACAUUCCAUAUUUGGAAAAACGAACGUUACGGGGCAGAUAUUCAAAUUCAUUAGUCAUCG